UACGUAGGGUGCAAGCGUUGUCCGGAAUUAUUGGGCGUAAAGCGCACGUAGGCGGCUUGUUAAGUCGGGGGUGAAAUCCUGGAGCUCAACUCCAGAACUGCCUUCGAUACUGGCGAGCUCGAGUUCGGGAGAGGUGAGUGGAACUGCGAGUGUAGAGGUGAAAUUCGUAGAUAUUCGCAAGAACACCAGUGGCGAAGGCGGCUCACUGGCCCGAUACUGACGCUGAGGUGCGAAAGCGUGGGGAGCGAACAGG
rnacentral:rRNA from 1 species